UCUAUAAAUGGUACAACUGCCACAACUGGCACACCAACAACAGUAUCCACUCCAAGCUUACAUGACCUCCAACUUUAUGGGGUUAUUGUGACCAUUCUUUUAUGUUUUAUUGUGUUUGGUGGUGUGAAGAUAAUCAAUAAGGUGGCACCUGCUUUCUUAAUACCUGUCCUAUUUUCAAUCUUCUGCAUAUUUAUUGGAAUCUUUGUAGCUCCAAGGAGUAAUGCUUCAAGUGAGUUCUUCCCUCCAGAUUCCCUAUCUGUAUGCUAGGUUUCCUUCUGCAGAUUUCAAAUGCUUUCCUCAUCUCAUAUUAUAUAAUAAGCUGCUUCUGAUUAUUAUUCCAUGCAAUUUUUGACGCAGGUGGCAUCACAGGAUUAAGUACAAACACAUUCAAAGACAAUUGGAGUUCUGAUUACCAGCGGACCACCAAUGCUGGGGUACCUGAUCAAAAUGGAUCUACUUUUUGGGAUUUUAAGUAAGUCUUUUGUUGUUUUAAGUGGUAUUAUUUGUAAUGUCAUAUUUGUGACCUUCUGUGCUGUGUGCAAAACCCCAAACUUUCAUGCCCUUCUAUGUUGAUUCAUCUUUGCAUCUCUGCCCUCCCUACCUUUUUCUGCAAAGGUUACAUUAGGACUCAAAAACCUAUGUUUUAAGCAUUUAAAUUUUGUUCUUUCUUAUGUUGCUAUUUUAUAGGAAGGAAUUAGGGUUUGGUAACUGUAAUUAGGAUCAAAAUUAAAAUCAAUAUAGGACAAGGAGAAGGGUGUUUAUGACUAUGCUUAGCUCAAGGAUUGUCAUUCCAGGUCUCACUUUGGUCUAAAUUGAGUUUUACAGGCUCUAGCUCUCAACCGGGUCAUGUUAACGUUUGUCUGAAAGUCAAUUAGCCCCAUCCAAAAAUGUGAUUGGAACUGUAUAAUACAUUAUAUCAUUAUAAAUUACUUAAAGUUAAUUAAAAUGAAAAUUUGGAGUUGCUGUGCUUUAUAAAAUUGCAAUGUGUAUACCAUACAUGUAAAUCCGUCACCUUCUAUAUGCAUUAUCGCUGAUGUAUUAAGUAGGGAUCCACUUGCAAGUGUUAAUCCAGAGCAAGACAAUGCACUUUUAGGGCAUUUUCAGUGGUAUCUAUGAUCAUAUUGUGUCAGACUAAAAAACUCGGCCAUCCAGCUUUGAGCUUGAAGCAAACUAGUUUUAGGUUUUGGCUUUAGCAAUGUGUUCGAGAUAGGAUAGGGUCCAAUCAGCAUUUAUCAAUCAAGUCUUAAACCAAGUACAGGCUUCCUGUGUCUAGUUUGGCCCAAGCCAUGAUAGGGGUGGACCGGCUUGACAGGCCUCAAGCCUAGUUCAUUAGCAAUCUUGAAUAGAAAUGAGAUAGACUUGUUCCAAGGCAUGGAAGGAUAUUUAUUUGGAUAUUGUUAAAGAUGAAAUUGAAUAUUGGACUACUAUCACAAUCUAAGAAGGAGAUUGCAAUACUAAAUCGGGUUGGAAUGGAGAUCAUUUCUUCAGUGUUGAUUGGUUUUUGAAGUCAAAAUCAAGAUGAGAAUCAAGGUUAAAACAGGCAUUGAUUUAAAGUCUGACAUACAUAACAAUAUCGAGAUAAAAUUACAUGUUAAAAAUAUGAGAUCAGCGUUCGACUAUAUCCACCAAUAGAUUUGUUAAUUCUAACUCUUUUAUGAUCUUAAUAUUGCAAUGAUGAAAAUCCAUUCUUAUCUGAAAACAAGAUGUUUUGUGCAACUGCCCAAACAAGUUAGAUGGAUAUAAAUAGCUGAAAAUAUUGGGGUGGAGAUAUUAUAUUUAAUGAAAAAUGUAUUCUUUUAAUAGAUGACACCUAAUAAACCACUUAACUUUUAAUAUUCUAAACUCUUAUUCUUAUUAUAAAAAUUGAUUGAAAGGUAAAAGGUAUGUUCAUCAUUGCUUGAGUUGUGCUUUAAUAACACAUAGAUCAAUGUCCUUCAGAUUAAGUUCAGUUAUAAUUUAACUGAAGUUUUUUGUUCAGGGUGCAUUAAUAUCAACAACAAAAUAGUAUCAUAAUACACAGAUGGAACUAAAUUGCUCUCUGAGUUCUGACAGUUUAACUUUUCAGUGCUUUGGUAGGUCUAUUUUUUCCGGCCGUAACAGGAAUUAUGGCAGGUUCAAAUAGGUCUGCAUCAUUGAAAGAUACACAGCGAUCUAUACCUGUUGGAACAUUAGCUGCGACUCUCACAACCUCUUUUUUAUAUCUCAUAUCAGUGCUACUAUUUGGAGCUCUAGCUACCAGAGAAGAGCUCUUGACAAACAGGUAUCUGCAUCUUCUGUACAAGCAUUUGUCCUCUUUAGUUCUCAUUUUUGAAAAUGCUGUCUUUUUGCAUCAAAAAGAAAAUGCUGUCUUUAUAGUUCAGUGGUUUAAUAUACUUGGAUAACUCAGUUUGCAAAUGCCACAACUCUAGCUCAUCUAUUCCUAUCAUGCAAUUGUUGGAUCAUUUCUUAAAUGACUUGCCAACCAGAUGUUCUACAUCCAGGAAGUCAAUUAAGGCAUAAAAAUGAAAAUGUUUUAUGAGGUUCUUAGUAUGCCAUCGGCAAGGCAGGAGGUAUGUGGCCAUUUUACAUCCAUGACAUGGAAAAUUAAUUGUCUUGGCCUGAUUGUGUAUGGUUGGUUUGUGCAAUCACGGACUGUACAAGCUGGUUGGAUUGCUGACAUAUUGAGUACAUAAUCAUAUCAGAAUUUUAGGUUUUCAUACUUGGGGUUACCCUGCUCUAUGUAAACCCUAAACAUGAAUUUUGGGAAGAGCUAGUGAGCUUUUCUCCUAGCAUUAUUUGGAUGCUUGGCAUGGUGCCAAUUUUAAAUGUCCCCAAUUGCUGGAUGCGGCCGCAUCUCAAAAUCAAGGCAUUGGGACAGACACAGAGACACACAGACACAUAAUAAUGCAAUGCUUUUGGGAAUAUUUGGCCUAAAUACUUCCCAAUGAAAACCUUGAAAAUGAAAUGCUCCCCAUGGUCAUCAUCUAAAUUGAUUACUAGCCAAUGGCCACCUGUUUUGGAGGUCUAUUACCUAUGCAUUAACUUGGCACAAAAUGAACAAUAGUGAUAUAGAUAAUGAGCUAAGCCUUACUGGAGACUGUUUUAAAAAUUUCUAAGUAUUUCAAACAUGGUCUGCCGUACCGCUCCGUACCGGCCGGUAUGGGCUGGUAUGUACCGGUCCGGCCUGGGACUGAUACCGGAUCAGCGUGGAAUUCGGUACCGGUGGUUUAUUGUUGGAGAACCGGUACGGGACCGGUUCAGACCGGUACGUGACCGGUUCGGGCCGGUACGUGACCGGUUCGGACCGGUACAGGACCGGCACGGGACCGAUUCGUACCGGUCCGGGCCGCCACCGGUACGCCGACCGGUACCGGUACGGCGGACCUUGAUUUCAAACCAUUGAUUUUAAAACAUAUGCAAACCAAAGUUCAACUGAUGUGGAUGCUUCUAGAGCAUUGAAAAAAUCAAAGCAUUAUAUGAUUCUGUUGAAAUUGUCCAUGCUGUAUCCAUUUGAUGUACAGGUAAAAGACCAUAAAGAUGCAUGAUUUUUCACUCCUAGCUAGUUUAUGUAAAUUGUGAUCAGCAAUGUAGAUUUUCAUUUCAUGAGAGCUAUUGAUGAUUCUCAUUAAAAAGCUCUUGGAAUGAAUACUCUCAAAAUCAUUCUUACCUCUCUCUCUCUCUCUCUCUCUCACACACACACACACACACGAAACUCCCAAGCCAUAAAAUAUUAACCACGAAGAAGAGGCUUAUAGGUCAAACUUCUUAGACAAUUCCAGCCAGCCAUAUCAUGUUGUGUCUAGGCAUCCAAAAAUGCCGACAUUUCUAAAAACCUAAAAGGUGGAGUAUUUGAGUAUUAUAGUUUUCUCCACACCAAGUGGGAAACUUUUCUUGUUAUGGCUAUUUCUUGCUUGAGUUGUUACUUGUCUAAGAAAUACUGUUAGGAAGAACUCAUCUUGAUGGUCGGAAGUCAUUAUUACUUGCUUUGUAACUUGAAGAGAACUGGAAUAAAUUUAUCUAUAAUAAGUUAUCUACUUUUAUAUAUCAUGAUUCGCUGGUGGCUGCUUUGAAUGCAAAUUGAAGAACUUAUCUCUGGUUAUUUCUUAGUACCUGUAUCAUAUUGUUUUGGGGAUCUAGCGGUGUAUAAUGAUACAAAAUUUACUCUUUUGCCAAAGUCUAUGGUUUUGAAAAGUCCUAUAUGUCUUCCAUAGGAUUGCUGCCUGGCUCUAGAGUAAGUGGUUUGUGCACUCCAAACUUGCACCUGUAUGCCAAAUUAAUGUCCUCAGAUGCUUUUUAUAGAAUUUAAAUCCUGGCUUUUGGGUAGGAAAAUAUUCAGAGACUCAUAAAGUGAGUUAUGCAUUGAUGUUUUGUUGUUUCAAACUCAUAACAAUCAGAAUCAUUAUUCAGGCUCCUCACUGCUGAAGUUGCUUGGCCUGUUCCAGCAAUCAUUUAUGUCGGGAUCAUUCUCUCUACUUUAGGUGCAGCACUUCAGAGUUUGACAGGGGCUCCACGGUUGCUUGCAGCAAUAGCAAAUGAUGACAUUCUUCCUGUUCUUAAGUAUUUUAGGGUCAAAGAAGGUGGUGAGCCUCAUUUGGCAACUUUGUUUACAGCCUUCAUCUGUAUAGGAUGUGUUGUGAUCGGGAAUCUGGAUCUAAUUACACCAACUGUCACUAUGUUUUUCCUUCUAUGUUAUGCCGGUGUGAAUUUAUCUUGUUUCCUUCUGGACCUUCUCGAUGCUCCUAGCUGGCGUCCUCGAUGGAAGUUUCACCACUGGAGUCUCUCACUUCUUGGUGCUCUGCUUUGUAUCGGUAUGCUGCCAAACUUCUCAUUCUUAUUUUUAACAUUGUAAGUUUUUUCAGGACUUAUUUGAGGAAUGUAAAUUGAAAACAUUCAGAAACACCUAUAUUAUGAGCUAUGAGAUAUAAUUCUCAAUUGACAUUCUACUUUCAAAUUCAGAGUUAUUUAAAAUUUGCAUGCUUUUUGUUUGGCUCGGUAUAGUGAGAUUCAUAUGUUGAGUUAAUAUGCUGUCUUUUUUUCUGGUUUGGGUUCCAGAUCUUUGGACUUUUGCCUUGCUUGAUUGUCAUCAAUAACAAAAAGCUGUUAUCUUUAGAUUUUUUUUGGGGACUUCCAAAUUAUCUGCCAAACUUGCUUUCUGAUGAAAACUCAUGUUUGUUGCAGUGAUCAUGUUUUUAAUCUCCUGGUUUUUCACUGUGGUGUCUCUGGCUCUUGCCAGCCUUAUUUAUUACUACGUCAGCUUAAAAGGAAAGGCUGGAGAUUGGGGAGAUGGGUUCAAGAGUGCAUAUUUCCAAUUGGCCUUGCGAAGCCUUCGAUCUUUAGGAGGUAUGUACAUUCAACAUUAUGCAUGAGAAUAUAAAUUAUAACUGGCUCUGCAACCAUCAAAGACCAAAAUGCACUGUGACAUUCUUAUAGUAUCAUAACAUCUUUAAAUAUAUGUGAUGAAUAUACAGGUAGAGAUCAAGAAGAAACUACAAUAAAACUAAGCAUGUAUAAUGAGCUUAAAAUUUAUUGUACAAUAUUGCAGCAUAGAAGGUUCAUUAGGUCUUUUCUGACUAUCAUGUCAAAUAUGCAUGGUUGCACAGCUGUAUAAUGCAAAAUUUUGGGUACUUCUAAUUCAAGAGAAAUGUCUAGUUACACAGAUUCUCGUGGGUUAAGGAAAGGAGAUGCAUGAAGUUGCAGGUAUGGGAACAUAAUAAAAAAGUCGAUAGUGCUAUUACCAUUAGGAAACAGCUUAAGUUUAUAGUUUAAUCAUGAUGAUCCUCUGAGUGUUUUACAUAAUAGACAUUUGUAGAUUCAAUGUGUUUGGAUGCCCGUUUUAGCAUAGGAGGAAGCAUCGGAAGCAUAAGUUUACUGGAAGCAUCAAGAAUUGAUGAGAAAAGAUUGGAUCAGAAAAUGGGAAACUCAAGGAGAACAAGGCCUUAUGAUUCCUACAAAUUGUAAAUACCAUGACAAACUUUUUAAGCGAACUAGAGGAAAGCUAGGAAGCCACACCCUAGCUUCCUAUGGUCGUGUGAAGUGGGGACUAUAGACAUAGCAUGAUACAGAUGUGUUGCUGUCAAACCGUGAAAAAAGUCGGAUACGAUAUGGCUGGGAUAUGUCAAUUAUACACACUCGUAUGGCACGUAUGUAUGUAUGUAAAAAAGCAUCCAUAUAGUAUAGUAGGUUACCAAAAUAGCGUAGUCCAUUUGUUAGACAAUAGCAUCAACCUUUACAAGCUCAUCAUUUUAGUCAUCAAAUCUAUAGACCCCAGUCCAUACUCUACCUUUUAAUUUUAAGAUCAUAGACUACAAAUAACACUAGAAGUAGGGGGAUCAAAUGCCAAGUUGAAACAAGGAGGUAGCACAAGUGGAACCGAAUAAACACUCCUCACCCACUGGGAAUCCUCCAAGGCUAAGUUCUCAUUCAAAUUACCAAAUUCAUACUAUGCAUUCAUUUACUGCCACACACACACACACACACACACACACACACACACACACACACACACAUAUAUAUAGCGCUGACAUCGAGGACGCAGCAUUCGACCGCGAUCUCGUCGGAAUCUACUCUAUAUCCACCGCUCUCAUCGACUGGAUCCGUCCGAACGCCGCCGUAGGCCCCGCGGCCCUCGCUUCUCUAAAGUUCCUAUCUAGCCAUACAAAAACUUGAUCAUGGAGAAUGGGGAAAUGGAAAGUGCAAAUCAGGAAACACAUUCACAAAGUGGGCGGCGAUAUACACCAGUUGUCACCCAUGAUCAAGCUGUGCUUCAGAUGUCUUCCAUAGAGCCUAUACCGCCAGAGAUCCCACUGAAGAAACUCAAUUUGCGCUCUCAGGUAAACAUGGACCCCAGUACAAGAGGGGAGUCUUCUGAUAGUCAUGGUGCGUCCAAUGGAUCUCAAAACGAAUCAAAACUAGAGCUGUUUGGUUUUGAUUCUCUUGUCAAUAUUUUGGGACUUAAGAGUAUGACAGGGGAACAAAUUCCAGCACCUUCUAGUCCUAGAGAUGGUGAGGAUGUGGCGAUUACUCUCGGACGACCCAAGCAAACUGGUCCGAAACUGGGAACUAUGAUGGGUGUAUUUGUGCCAUGCCUGCAAAACAUCUUGGGAAUCAUCUACUAUAUCCGCUUUUCUUGGAUCGUGGGUAUGGCAGGUAUAGGUGAUUCGCUUUUGCUGGUUUCACUUUGUGGCCUUUGCACAUUUUUAACCGGAAUAUCAUUAAGUGCAAUUGCAACUAAUGGGGCAAUGAAGGGUGGUGGACCAUAUUAUCUCAUUGGUAGAGCCCUUGGUCCAGAAGUUGGAGUUAGUAUUGGAUUGUGCUUUUUCCUUGGGAAUGCUGUUGCUGGAGCUCUGUAUGUCUUGGGAGCUGUUGAAACCUUCUUAGAUGCUAUCCCAGCUGCUGGAUUUUUCAAAGAGAGCGUAACAAUAGUUCCUAAUAUUACAUCUAUAAAUGGUACAACUGCCACAACUGGCACACCAACAACAGUAUCCACUCCAAGCUUACAUGACCUCCAACUUUAUGGGGUUAUUGUGACCAUUCUUUUAUGUUUUAUUGUGUUUGGUGGUGUGAAGAUAAUCAAUAAGGUGGCACCUGCUUUCUUAAUACCUGUCCUAUUUUCAAUCUUCUGCAUAUUUAUUGGAAUCUUUGUAGCUCCAAGGAGUAAUGCUUCAAGUGGCAUCACAGGAUUAAGUACAAACACAUUCAAAGACAAUUGGAGUUCUGAUUACCAGCGGACCACCAAUGCUGGGGUACCUGAUCAAAAUGGAUCUACUUUUUGGGAUUUUAAUGCUUUGGUAGGUCUAUUUUUUCCGGCCGUAACAGGAAUUAUGGCAGGUUCAAAUAGGUCUGCAUCAUUGAAAGAUACACAGCGAUCUAUACCUGUUGGAACAUUAGCUGCGACUCUCACAACCUCUUUUUUAUAUCUCAUAUCAGUGCUACUAUUUGGAGCUCUAGCUACCAGAGAAGAGCUCUUGACAAANNNNNNNNNNNNNNNNNNNNACACACACACACACACACACACACACACACACACACACACACACACAUAUAUAUAUACUUAUGUAGACACAAAAUAACAUUACAUAUCCUAAUAUGUUAAUGCUUCCAACUUUCUAUUAGACAAAUAAAAUAAAAAUACAUCUAUCAACUAUAAAAGAUAUGAUGCAUGAACUAUGUUUAUUAGAGCCUAGAAACUUCAAAAGACAUCCACAUUUAUGAACACACAAUUAAAGCUUAUAACCACCAAUAAUUAAUAACUUAUAUCUGAUUAGAUUGACUUAUUGACUUAAGUAUAUGCCAUAUUCUGAAAUGGUUAAUUCACAAUGGGCUGACCCAACUUGGUUGGUUUACCGCUCCUAUGUCAACAGAAUUAUCUAUCCACUGUUAAAAGGUUAACACUAAAAAAAAAUAGAGAACUCUCCCUCAUAUUUGGUGAUAUUAGGUGUACUUGGGAAAUAUCUGAAGUAUUUUAAAGGGAGCCCUCUUCUUCAUAUUUGGUGAUAUUAGGUGUACUUGGAAAAUAUAUGGAGUAUUUUUUAAGUUUUAAAAAUAGGAUACGUUACACAAGUAUUGGACAUAUAUUUUGAGAAUCAUACACAUCCAAAGCAAACACGGUAUAUGAUUUGAAGCAUAUGUGCUUCCUAGAUUGCCAUGUAUAGGGGAUUGGCUACUGCUCACCUAAAAUUUAAGCAGCAAAAGAAAACCAAUUUCUACCAUAUCUCAAAGUAAAAGAACAAAACAUACUUUCUAUGAUUCUCUCUUCAACCAGUUAUCUGAAUAGGUUACACCCAAGGAAUGUUGAACGGGACUGUAUCGGCCGGUUCAGCCCAUAUCGAACCGGUACUGGCUCUGACCGGUUCGGUUCGGUGUUAAAAACGGGUGCCGGCCUGUACCGGGUUCAAAUUUUUUU
rnacentral:lncRNA from 1 species